AUAUGGUUUAUUGUUGGCCAUGCCUUGCGCCUGUUCUAAUUUUUUCCGAAACUGUUGAAUCGUUUUGUUUGAGUCGUGUUUAGUAUUCUGUAUUCGUGUAUACUAAUGUUUUUUUUUUAGAGAGAUAUGUAGCAUGCUGCUAGCUUCAUUUAUUUCAUUUAGAAAUAAACUUAGCUAAAAAUGUGAAUCAACUAUGAUUCGAAUUAGGGACCUCGGAUACCAACCACCAAACCCUUUGCCACUUGCACUAGGAACGAUCGGUUAUGUUUUACUAAUGUUAUUUGAGCUUAUCAUAGCUUUUUUACAAACUAAUUCAUCACAAGUUAAUAUUUUCUGUUAUUGAACAGUUUUGAUAUUCUCUGUUAAUAUUCUCUGUUAAUAUUCUCUGUUACAAACUAAUUCCCCAGUUUUGUUACUUGACAUAUAGUUACAAUCAUUGACCGUCCUUAGCACAAGUGGCAAAGAGCUUGGUGGUUGGUACCUGAGAUCCCAAGUUUGAAUCCUAGUUGAUUUAUAUUUUUAGCUAAGUUUACUUCUAAAAGAAAUAAAUGAAACGGGUAGUAUGCUACCUUUCUCUCUCUCAAAAAAAAAAAUUCUUCUCCAUUACAAAUAUUUUUCAAAUGAUUAACAAAUUUUGC
rnacentral:lncRNA from 1 species